CUGACCCCCUCCCCCUCUUCCCCUCAUUCCUCUCUCUGUCGCUCUCUCCCUCUCUCUCGCCUGCGCUGCCGCCGCCGCCGCCGCUCUCACCUCACUCCGCUUCGUGCACUUGCUGCUCUUCCCUGCGUACCUCACCCCGUCGCUCCAGUUCCUGGCAACGGAGUGCUUAGCCAGCGGCCGCCUCGCCAUCUGGCGGGAGGAGGCCGCGCACCGCGGAGUCGCCUAGGCACCAGCAAGGUGGACGCCCGCCGCCGUGUCCUCGAGUCCGUCGACGACCGCGUCGGCGGGGUGGUCCGUGCUGACGACGUCCUACACGGUGACUCACACUUUCUGCCUCACGGGCGAGCAGCUGCGGGAUUCGCUGCCGCGGAAGGCUGGGAUCGGCGAGGUCAUCGACACUGCGCUCCGCGCCGCCGCUCCCCGACGGUCGCCUGCCUCUUCUCCCUUGUCCCGCAAAUACCGCGCGCUCUCUUUCCCAGGCACCGCGGGGCCCCAGCCCCGGCCGCGCCGGCGCCGACCGUCCCCGUCCCUAACCGCCGCCACCACAGCGCCGAACGUCCCCGGUCGCCGCCGCGCACGCCUACGUCCGCGCCGGCACCGCCUGUCCCCCACGCGCCAUAGCUCGCCACCGCGCAGCCGCUACCGUGGCAGCUCUGUAACGAGUCCGCCGGCAACUACACAGAGAGCAGCGCCUAGCAGGCCAAGAUCCGCCGCCUCGCAGCCGCGCGUCCUCGUCCCCACAGCGCUCUUCGCCGCCGCGCCCACGCCCUCGCGCUCUGCAGCGGCGCGAUCCUCGCGGUUUCGUCGCUGGCCAAUUAUCCUGGUGUUUAAUCGGUCCAUGGCGCCGUCGCGCGCCAGGUGUUCGUUGUUUUGCCUACGAGAUGGAUAAACGGCUCUUGCUAUUUUUUACAGAUAAAGGCUGCAUCUUUCUUGCCCCUCCAGCAAUUGUUUUGUGAUUGAUCGCUUUCAUUGCCGAGGAAAUUAUAAGUUUCUAUCAACUGUAUAGAACACAUUGCAAUCAGGAGUACCAAGAUAAAUGCAUUCUGUGGACUCUUAGCCUGAAUACUGUAGAAUGGUUAUCAACUUAUUAAAGAGUUAAAUUGUAUCUUCUCAUUCGACACUACCUAACUGGAGAUUCUGAAUGUUGCUGCGUGUACCGUCGUGAACAGUUGAUGUUGAGAAUCACGCCAGGGACUUCAUGGAGGUUGCCAAGAAGCUCCGGUCUUACUUCAUCAGCCUGCAGCGUGAGGACCAACAGCAGAAGAGAUGCUUCGGAAGGAGAUUACUACAAUGGAGGAAGAACUGAAGACCAAGUCUGAGCUUAUUGCCAGGCACAAGAAGCUGAUUGAAGGGUGGCGGAAAGAACCGAAGGAGCAACCGGGGAAGCACCUAACUGAGCUCUAAAGAGUGUGAGGAGUGUGAUGUCGGCAUGUCGCAGUUUACCUUGCAAUGACCAUGAACUGUGUACAUCAAGUAGACCACCCAUUGUAACAUGUUUUUAGGAUGCUAACAGUCAGUGGCAUUUUGGUUCUCUGUUGCAGAUGGCAGAAACAAAGCCCCCUUAUCGAUGUUUGAUGAUGUAUUUGCUUAUGGACUAUGCAGUUGUAUUAGGCAUGAUUUUUGUUUUUAUUUUGUUGUCUUUGUGUCAAA